GACGAACGCUGGCGGCGUGCCUAAUACAUGCAAGUAGAACGCUGAAGAGAGGAGCUUGCUCUUCUUGGAUGAGUUGCGAACGGGUGAGUAACGCGUAGGUAACCUGCCUUGUAGCGGGGGAUAACUAUUGGAAACGAUAGCUAAUACCGCAUAACAAUGGAUGACACAUGUCAUUUAUUUGAAAGGGGCAAUUGUUCCACUACAAGAUGGACCUGCGUUGUAUUAGCUAGUAGGUGAGGUAAUGGCUCACCUAGGCGACGAUACAUAGCCGACCUGAGAGGGUGGUCGGCCACACUGGGACUGUGACACGGCCCAGACUCCUACGGGAGGCAGCAGUAGGGAAUCUUCGGCAAUGGGGGCAACCCUGACCGAGCAACGCCGCGUGAGUGAAGAAGGUUGUCGGAUCGUAAAGCUCGGUUGUAAGUCAAGAACGGGUGUGAGAGUGGAAAGUUCACACUGUGACGGUAGCUUACCAGAAAGGGACGGCUAACUACGUG
rnacentral:rRNA from 1 species